CCUCUCGGUCCCAGUAAUGUAUGGAGGUCUAGGGAAAGGGCUCUGGCCUUCCCAGUGUCACAUCUUUGGCACGGAAGUCUUCCAUUCCAUAUGUUCUAACCUCAAGUGCCCAGACACCG
ensembl:snoRNA small nucleolar RNA SNORA57